rnacentral:rRNA from 1 species
AACGAACGCUGGCGGCAUGCCUAACACAUGCAAGUCGAACGAGACCUUCGGGUCUAGUGGCGCACGGGUGCGUAACGCGUGGGGAUCUACCCUCAGGUUCGGAAUAACUCAGAGAAAUUUGAGCUAAUACCGGAUGAUGACGUAAGUCCAAAGAUUUAUCGCCUGAGGAUGAGCCCGCUUAGGAUUAGGUAGUUGGUGAGGUAAAGGCUCACCAAGCCGACGAUCCUUAGCUGGUCUGAGAGGAUGAUCAGCCACACUGGGACUGAGACACGGCCCAGACUCCUACGGGAGGCAGCAGUGGGGAAUAUUGGACAAUGGGCGAAAGCCUGAUCCAGCAAUGCCGCGUGAGUGAUGAAGGCCUUAGGGUUGUAAAGCUCUUUUACCCGGGAUGAUAAUGACAGUACCGGGAGAAUAAGCUCCGGCUAACUCCGUG